rnacentral:rRNA from 1 species
ACUCAAAGGAAUAGACGGGGGCCCGCACAAGCGGUGGAUGAUGUGGUUUAAUUCGAUGCAACGCGCAAAACCUUACCUACCCUUGACAUGCUAGGAACCUCGCAGAGAUGUGAGGGUGCCCGAAAGGGAGCCUAGACACAGGUGCUGCAUGGCUGUCGUCAGCUCGUGUCGUGAGAUGUUGGGUUAAGUCCCGCAACGAGCGCAACCCUUGCCAUUAGUUGCUACAUUCAGUUGAGCACUCUAAUGGGACUGCCGGUGACAAACCGGAGGAAGGUGGGGAUGACGUCAAGUCCUCAUGGCCCUUAUGGGUAGGGCUACACACGUCAUACAAUGGUCGGUACAGAGGGUUGCCAACCCGCGAGGGGGAGCCAAUCUCAGAAAGCCGAUCGUAGUCCGGAUCGCAGUCUGCAACUCGACUGCGUGAAGUCGGAAUCGCUAGUAAUCGCGGAUCAGCAUGUCGCGGUGAAUACGUUCCCGGGCCUUGCACACACCGCCCGU